GACAGAGGUGCCGAGCGUUAGGCGGAAUCACCGGGCUUAAAGCGUGUGUAGGCGGACGGGUAAGUACCUUGUGAAAUCCCACGGCUCAACCGUGGAACUGCUGGGUAUACUGCCUGUCUUGAGUCAUCUAGGGGCGAGCGGAACAAAUGGUGGAGCGGUGAAAUGCGUAGAUAUCAUUUGGAACGCCAAUGGUGAAAACAGCUCGCUGGGGAUGUACUGACGCUGAGACACGAAAGCCAGGGGAGCAAACGGG
rnacentral:rRNA from 1 species